UAAAGUGUUAUGGUUCAAUUCGAUUAAAAGGGAAUUGAGUGAAAAUCUCAAACGGUCCCGCCACUGUAAGGAUGACGAAAGUAGAUAAACCACUGAAGUGUAAUAAACUUUGGGAAGGGCUACAAGUAGGACGAAGCCGAGUCAGGAGACCUGCCAUUAACAAA
rnacentral:ncRNA from 1 species